rnacentral:misc_RNA from 1 species
AACGCACAUUGCGCCCUCUGGUAUUCCGGAGGGCAUGCCUGUUCGAGCGUCAUUAAAACUACUCAAGCGAAGGUUUUACCUUCCGCUUGGUCUUGGGUUUGAGGAGUCAAAUCCUCUGUCCGAAAUUCAGUGGCGAAUUGUUUGAGCUUUGGACGUAGUAAAAAUUUUCUACCCGUUGCAAGCGAGAAUCUAUUCUGCCAUAACCCCCAUACUUUUCUAGUUUGACCUCGGAUCAGGUAGGGAUACCCGCUGAACUUAA